rnacentral:rRNA from 1 species
CWWWAAUUAWAGCUGUUUAUUCCGRWCUGUUUUYCCCGCKGGCGCGGCCGRGGGGGKGAWGGAUAUSUGURGGGGGGGCCCYUAGAGUUUGAUCCUGGCUCAGAACGAACGCUGGYGGCGUGCUUAACACAUGCAAGUCGAACGCGAAAUUUUUCUUCGGAAAGAGAGUAGAGUGGCGCACGGGUGAGUAACGCGUAAGUAAUCUACCUCGGCAUCUGGAAUAACUCACCGAAAGGUGUGCUAAUACCGGAUACGUUGAGCAAUCAAGAAAGGUGGCCUCUGAAUAUGCUACUGUGCUGAGAUGAGCUUGCGUACCAUUAGCUAGUUGGUAGGGUAAUGGCCUACCAAGGCAACGAUGGUUAGCUGGUCUGAGAGGAUGAUCAGCCACACUGGAACUGAGACACGGUCCAGACUCCUACGGGAGGCAGCAGUGGGGAAUUUUGCGCAAUGGGGGAAACCCUGACGCAGCAACGCCGCGUGAGUGAUGAAGGCUUUCGGGUCGUAAAGCUCUGUCAGAGGGGAAGAAAUGAAACGUGCUAAUAUCACGUUUUCUUGACGGUACCCUCAAAGGAAGCACCGGCUAACUCCGUGCCAGCAGCCGCGGUAAUAC